GUGGUGCUGUGUGGCAGUUCUUCUGUUUGCAGCUCCGGGAGGAUUCGGGAUCGGGAAUUCCCAGCAAGCUACUUUCUGGAGAGACCCACACCUCCCUCGACCCUCGCAGCCGCCUCCAAGUGAUUCCUCUGUUCCUACGUUUACUUGCCGGCUUUCUCUUCUCAAUCGCUGUCCCCAGUUCUGCGACUUUGAACCGAUUGCUAGGUUCCUGGAGCCCUAUACUUCCUCGCUCCCUUGGAGUUAGAUGGAAUCUUUACAGUUGAAUGCAGACAUAAGGCUUGCUUUGGCCAAUGAAAUAUGAGCAGAAGUGGCAUCUGCUACAUCUCAGUGGAAGCGUUUAAGACACAGAGUGUGUUUUUCUCCAGAUCCUCUCCUUUCCACAUGCUGAUGUGAAGGUACCAGAAGAAAGGAUCAGUGCUGUGGAUCUUGGAGCUAACACUUGAAGAAUGGCUACCCUGCAAAGCUGACAGGAGCAGAUUGGGUCUCCCCCGCCAGACCAUGAACGUCCCAGGAGCAAGCACUGUGUCCGAUUCACCUCUUUCUGCCUCACAAUGUGGCCCAGCAUGGGGCCUGACACUUGGAAGUUUCUCAAAGAGUUACUUGUUGAAUGAAUGAACAAAUGAAUGCUUUCUCCAAACUACACUGAACUCGGGAUGGGAUUUACAAAGAAGGAAAGGCCUGAUUACCCACUUAUCCUGUGCCUCCAGGAUUCAAGAAGGCAAUGAGCCCCUAAGGUUUGGUUUCCGUGUUUAUAUGUAUUUUCCUAAGGAUAGGAUUCUGAAUCAUUCAUCAGAUUUUCAAAAGGGUGUGUGUCCCCCAGAAGGAUAAUCACUUAAGAACAUAGUCCAAGAUGGAUGUUUUAUAUAAAUUGUCUUCCAAUUCAUUUUCCUGAACUGAAUUACUUUUUCUUCCCAAUACUACUGCUUUCUUCCUAUAUAUAAUCUCUUGGGGUGUGUUACUUUGUAAUGUCAGAAUCUCCCAUUCAUCUGAGGAAAUGGUAAGGAGAUGCCAAUGAGGUUCAAGACAUGCUACCCCAAAAUAUGACACCUUGGCAUAUUAAAUACCUUAAUCGGAAGGAAUUUUAAAAAGCAGCAGAGGGACUUCUCUGACCGUCCAGUGGUUAAGACUC